GGGAAAGCAAGAUGGCUAUUUGGGAGCUCUGCAGGCACAGACCUCAUGAAGAAUAGGCUAAAUAAACAGAGCCAAAGGCCAGGAGACAAAGUAAAGGGUAAAACUAAAGGCUAGACAGCUCCGCUGAGAAAGAGGGAACCGUAAAGGAUGCAGCAGCUGAGAAAACUGGCGAGAGAGAGGCGUUUUUUCCUUCACUCAGACCUGGCAUAAGCUCAUCACUCAAAGGCAAAGUGGAGUCCUCAGCCUGAAAAUGAUUGGAUGCCCCUUCUGUAAUAUCAUGAAGUAUUCAUUUCUAGACAGCUUGUCCAAGGUUCUUCUCUCUUCCUCAAGUGGCCCUGGAGAAAGGGAGGAGCGAUAAUAAUGAGAGUGUACAAAGGAGCUGUAUUAGAGAAAUAUGAUACUGUAGAGGGACUAUUCCUGGCAUCAUGGUUUUAAUUCUCCCUUUCACGUGUGUGGCUGUCUUCCUCUCACGUCUCCCACUUGCAAGCAGUUCAGAGAAGUAUUGACAUUUGAGACGUUGGGUCAGAUCCAUGGUGAGAGCAAGUAAGUGGAAAGGACCCUGGAACAGAGGCCCUUAAAAGAGAACUAAGAUGGGAAUCUCAUUGGCCAGCACAAAUUGAAAGUUAAUCCCCCUCCCACCUGAUGAUGGCAGGUUAACCCAUAACAUAUUAAUGUAGAGGAUAAAGAAUCUUUGAUUACAAGGAGGCUUCAAGUUUAGAAGAAGAAAAAAAAUCUUUAUUCCUUAUAUGGCAUCAUUAGGCUAUUUGAGCACUGUGAAUGGAUGAUUGCACUUUAUUAUGCACAGUCUAUUUCAUGCAGUCAAGAAGCUCAGAACGCUACCAGGAAAUUGCAACCAGUUUCUAACAAAAGGGAGCAUUUAAAGAAGAAGAAGCUUCUUUAAAUCAAGAACAUAACUAUGGGAAAAUCAGGGCUUCAAUAUGGCAUUGUAGCUGCAAAAGUACCUGAGACUUUUGGGUUUUACUUAGACAGCAAAAUCUUGGGAUAGCCUGCAAGUUGAGCUAAAGUGCCAAUUUACAGCUGAAGACAAUCAGAUAAUGUACAUAUUGGUACAUAUUCUAUUUUCCCCUAAAAAUGGCACUCCUGGCAGAACUAGGGAUCCCAACUUUCUCCCAUAUCACAGACUAAAGGAGAGAGAGGGUCUAUUUACCUUCCACAGUUAUAGUGCUGUGUUCAGAUUUUAUUUGCUCCUACCCAGAUUUAUAGAUUUAAUGUUUAUAAUUCUAUGUUAUAUUAUUUACUGCAUUGAUUGUAGUAUGAAUGCUUUAUUGUAGUUUACUAUUUUAUUUUGCUAUGUGCUGGUCAUUGGCCAAAAUAACAUUUCUGUUCUCUCCUGCCCAAGAGGAGCAAAACUCAUGCAAUCUUAGCCCUCUCCUGUAAAAGCAUUUGUAUUAAAUUAUUUCCAUGCAUGCAUGGCUAUAAAAAAUAUAUAUCUAUAAAACUAAUAGCUGCAUUUAAAAUGGUUCCUGU